ACGAACGCUGGCGGCGUGCUUAACACCUGCAAGUCGAACGGAAAGGCCCUGCUUUUGUGGGGUGCUCGAGUGGCGAACGGGUGAGUAACACGUGAGUAACCUGCCCUUGACUUUGGGAUAACUUCAUGAAACUGGGGCUAAUACCGGAUAGGAGCUCCUGCUGCAUGGUGGGGGUUGGAAAGUUUCGGCGGUUGGGGAUGGACUCGCGGCUUAUCAGCUUGUUGGUGGGGUAGUGGCUUACCAAGGCUUUGACGGGUAGCCGGCCUGAGAGGGUGACCGGCCACAUUGGGACUGAGAUACGGCCCAGACUCCUACGGGAGGCAGCAGUGGGGAAUAUUGCACAAUGGGCGGAAGCCUGAUGCAGCAACGCCGCGUGCGGGAUGACGGCCUUCGGGUUGUAAACCGCUUUCGCCUGUGACGAAGCGUGAGUGACGGUAAUGGGUAAAGAAGCACCGGCUAACUACGUG
rnacentral:rRNA from 1 species